GGCUUCCCAAGGAAGCCCACCUGUUCACGGUUGUCAGCAGCUGCAUCCCUUUCUCAGCUGCAUCCCUCCAGCAGCAGAGAGACAGACAACAGUAGCAGGUCGUGCCCAGGUGGCUUAUGGGUCAGACCUGAAGGUGGUGCAAAGGACAAGGUGGAGGUGGAAUGAGAACAACCGAACCUACACUCAUCAAGAAUCCUCAUCUGGGUUUACAGUGUGCCAGAACCAGGCCUCAGCUGGAGUCUAGCCCAUCGAUUGAUGGGUAGGAAUCAGAACGGGGCACUAUGUGGGAGGCCACAAGCUGGUAGCACAGCAGAAGCCUGAGUUCUCAGAAAUGCCAUCCAGCCAAAGGCAGGACAGAAAUUUACAGGGCUAUUCUUUAACAAUAUUUUAAUGGUAACUAAAGGUCAUUA
ensembl:antisense uncharacterized LOC110297770